AAUCGCUGUGAGCACGGCGACCCAACGGCGGCGGGGCUGCGAAGGAGGCAGAGGGACAGGCGAGGGGCGGGUGGGAGGCAGGGAGGAGGGAAGAGGAAGGGGAGAGUCGGCGGUCGGAGCGGGGUGACGAGGACCUCAUGCACGAGGCGGCGAAGGACCGAUGGCAGAGAACCGAGUGCGGCGCGAGGCGGUGGCCGCGGCCAGCGGGUGGGUGCGUCUGGGCGCAGGCGGGCACCGGGGCCCAGGGUCUGGUCCUCCUCCUUGUGGCGGGUCCAGGGCGCGGCCGCCUCGCCCAGCCCCUAGGCGCACUCGUCCCGGCGCGGAGGCGGCGGCGACAAGGCAGUCGCUGGGUGCCGCGUCUGCCGGCGGAGACGCAGACCGACGCGCAAGAGGCGACCGCGGCUGCCUCGGCUCCCAGCUCUGUUAACUGCGCGGAGUACUUUCGACUUUGGAGAUAGGAGGGCGAUCGCCUCCCCCACCCACCGCCUCCGCCCACCACCCACCGCCUCCGCCCCUCCGAGCAACUUUUCCCGGUGCCUGCGAGCUCCCCCUCCGCGCCGAGCCGAACGUCCCGGCCCGCCGCGCUUCGUGCCGCCGCGCGCGCAGGGAAGGCCGCUUCUCCUUCAAAGCUGGCACGGCCGCGAGUCCGGAACAAUAGUCGGGGUGUCCCGAAUGCCAGGAGCACGGCCACUGCCCGCCGGGCUGUGGGUGGCACAGGAAUGGGGGUUGCGUGGUGGAUGCAGAGCGGGGUGCAUCCCUGGAUGGCAUCGCUGGAGCGCUCGCCGCUCCGGCGACAUCGCGAGCGGUGCAAACCGGGCCGCCUGGAGCCCGUGACGCGGUGGCGGCGAGGGCGGUGGGGCUGCCUGUCCUCGGGCUACAGGACUGGGGCUCCUGGGGACCCCAAGCUGCUCGAGCCCAGGGCUGCUGGCGCCAACAGAGCUGUGCCCUGAGGACCCGGCCUCCCCGCCCGGGGGGAGGCCGCACAGGAGCGUCCCCAGCAGGUCCCGCGAAGGCGUAACAGAGCCACAAACUUUUGCCGACUCCCGCGGCCGCGGCCGCCGGCAGCCCGACUCCGGCCGCGGUGCUCAUUUAAGGUGGCGCGGGCACUAGCCGAGCAGGCUGGCCUCUGGCCGCGCUUUUGUCCCUGCGAUUCCGCUUGGGCGCGCUGCCUCCUUAAGGAAAAGCACGUGGGCAGGGGCCGCAGCCCCCGCGAGAUACCCGGGGCGUCGGCGGACAUUAGCCGCUAGGACCUUAGGCGAGAAAAUGUGGACGCAUCCCCGCCGGCCCUGAGGCCAGAGAAUCCCCCCUCAACUGGUUGCACCUCAUGUCCCUCCCGCACACGUUGACUCUCCCUCCUAAUCCCCAGGACCCCGAGGGCUCUCCCACAUCUCCCGCAGCAAGAGCCACCGAUCCCCCUUAAGAAGCGUUGACUGUACGGCGGCGCCAGAGGGCCAAACUAAGUUCGGUUUCGGGAAACGCUCUCGGGAGCAGUUCUGUAAAUCCCUGCUGGGAGCAGAGACUGCGAAAAGCUGAGUCCGCCGAUCGUGCCCGGGACAAGGCUGCCUUCCACUCGCCCUCGCCGCAUCUACCUGGUAGGCGGCAUGCGCACGGGCUUAGAGGCUUGAGAGCCUCUGGAAGAGAAAGGGUCCCAGGAAGGAAACCUGCCCCCGGCCUAAGUGUCGGCGCCCAGAUCACCACGAACCCCGCACCUAGGCGCCGCCCACCAAGUUCCAAAGAAGUCCGAGGCGACCUGGGAGUCGGUCGGAUCCCAGCCGAGAAAAGAAACAAGCAGGAUAGCAAUUCUUAGGGGAGCCACCCUGGGAGUUUUAGGCAGCGUUUGCCUUUCCCUGGUUUUCUUCACCAAGCCCCAUCCUCCCCCCGCAUACCACCCCCAGUCAAAAGAGUGGGAGAAAAUGCACAGUUCGAAGUCGGUGAGAGCAAAAAUGGGUCUAGUAAAUCAACCCGUGGUGGUAGCUAAAAGGUUUGGGGCUGCAAAGAAACAAACUGUAAGUUUUGAGCAACAAACUUUUUCUUCAAUCUGUAAUAUGUCGAAAUGGGAAGGGGGUGUUGCAAAAGCCAACUACCACUGUCAAACUUAGCCCGUUUACAACAUGGGGAAAGGCGUAUUUCUUACUAAUAUCUCAACAACGAUAACAAUGCUGUAUCCUUCCUUACCUUGAUGUUGAACUGCGAAUCCUCCUCCGGAUCAAUGUCCAGGAACUUAGAAGAAUUGGUGAUAUUAGGAGUUCAGUACUUCUGGAAAAAAAUGCAAAUGGUUUAGCCAGGAUCUUUCCUGUCUGAUUCGUCACUAUUAUUAUAUCUGAUGAUGCGAAUGGUUGGAGCGAUUCAAUCCUAAGUCAUUAAUGAGCUAUUUUAUAAACACCACUGUCUGAAGAUCUUCAUUUACAUUUUGCUAAGGAUCACUUCGCUAACCUCACAGGCUUGUGUCAACAGCAUGAUUUGCAGGACUUCAGUUACACUCUUAUAAACAACACGGCUGUAUUGUUAAUCGGUUAAUAUUUUAUAAAGUGUAAAUAUUUUAUUAUGUUUUGAAGGGAACUAUUGAUUCUAAAUUAUUAAACCCCUGAGAAGGACUAUUUAAAUGAAAUAUACAAUUAAGUACAAUUAAAUGUACAUUGUGGUUAGUUUGUUUUCAGAUUCUGCACCCUUUUAAAUUCAUUGCUUUUCUCUUUACUGGAGUUUCCUCUUGUCCAUUUCUGAUACUGAAAAAAAUCUAUCAUGUUAGGAAAAAGCCUAAAUUAUUUAAAGUUGCAUUAAACUUAGAGGAAAAUGUCAAAUACGAUUAAUUAUGACCAGAAAUGUAUUUUGGAUGUUUGUAGAGUUGUAUUUCAUAUCACAUUUUACAAAUUUCUUCCGAUUUAAAGGAGAGUUCUAGGAAGUUUUGUGAUCUAUGUCCGGUGUGGGUUUUUGUCCUCUCGAGUUUUGUCUCUAAUAAAGGCCUUUUUUGUUUCAAAUUACAUACGCUUUUUACUGCACAAUUUUUGUAUUGACCUUAUUUCAACUGAAGCGAUUAUUUCCAGCAGGUUUAAUUUCGACAAUAAGAUAUAUUUUAAUAGUUUUACCUUUCGCUAGAAUUUUGUAUUGUUUAAAACAGUAAAUGAAUAAAUUUGCUGAUGAUUCAA
rnacentral:lncRNA from 1 species